rnacentral:rRNA from 1 species
CUUAAUACAUGCAAGUCGAACGAAUGGAUGUCUAGCUUGCUAGACUGAAGUUAGUGGCGAACGGGUGAGUAAUACAUAGGCAAUCUGCCCUGAAGUGUGGGAUAGCUAUUGGAAACGAUAAUUAAUACCGCAUAGGUAGUAAGAAGGCAUCUUCCUACUAUUAAAGAUGCGUUUGCAUCGCUGCAGGAUGAGCUUAUGGUGUAUUAGCUAGUUGGUGAGAUAAAAGCCCACCAAGGCUAUGAUACAUAGCUGGUCUGAGAGGAUGAACAGCCACAUUGGGACUGAGACACGGCCCAGACUCCUACGGGAGGCAGCAGUAAGGAAUUUUCGGCAAUGGGGGCAACCCUGACCGAGCAACGCCGCGUGAGUGAUGAAGGUCUUCGGAUCGUAAAACUCUGUUGUAAAGGAAGAAUGUCAUAUAUAGGAAAUGAUAUAUGAGUGACGGUACUUUACUAGAAAGUCACGGCUUACUACGUG